AUACAUCUUCUCCCUGUCUCUGCUCCUCCGUGUCCAAUGCUGCGGUGAUUCUGGGCGGUGUUGAGGCCAGAGAGCCAUCAGAACCCAGUGAUCCCUAUUUUCCACAAGGCGGAAUGACAUUGAGUAAUUGAUUCAGCACUGCAACGAAGAAACGAGACUGUUGUCCUCGCAGGAACUUCAUGUGUCUAAAAGCACGCAUCCUCUUUGACUACUUGUCAGUUACAUUAAAACAGCUUCCGCAAGCAUUAAAUAUGCAUGCGUUUGAUGGACGAGUGGUCAAACUCUUCUCAACGGUUAAAUCACAAAUUCGAUGACGCCAAUCGGGCAAGCCUAACAAAGCUAAACUCCGACAACAAACCAGGCUGUGGCGCAAGAACCCCACCCUUAUCAUGACCAACCUCAACAAACAUUGAUUCGAUUACUUCCAUGUCUACCCCAUGCUUGAGAUGAUGCUAUGAUGCUAUAACUAGCUAUUUGCAUGGAUUGUCCUGUUGUUUAGUUAUAAAAGGCAAUUAACUUCGACCACAGUUAGAAAAACGCUCUCGUGUCUAUCUGAAGUCUAUCGUAAAAUAUUGAUUAAUUAUAUUUAAUCAAGAACUCUAUCUAAUCUUUAAAUGGACGAUUCCUCCGCAGUACCGCUAUCAGAUCUAGUCCAUCAAUGGUUGGAUUGGGACCAUGACCCUGAAACUCGCGCCGAAAUCAUCAGACUGCGCGACGAGAAGAAUGAAGAUGAGUUGGAGAAACGCUUGCGGAAACGCAUCGAAUUCGGUACCGCUGGGCUGCGCGGCCGUAUGCAAGCCGGAUUCUCAUCGAUGAAUGCCCUCACCGUCAUCCAAGCCUCACAGGGCCUUGCCAAAUUUAUCAGACGGUCGCAUCAACAAUCGCAGGAGCAGGAGCACUCGCAGCCUUCGGUGAUAAUUGGCCGCGACGCACGGCAUAACUCGAAGAAAUUUGCCAUGCUGGCUGCGAAUGCGUUUGCUGCUGAAGGGAUUCGGGUGUUGUGGUAUCGGAGUGCUGGGCCAACGCCGCUUGUACCCUUUGGCGUGUUGAAGAAUCGGGAGGCGUGGGGGGUUAUGGUCACGGCUAGUCAUAACCCCGCAAGAGAUAAUGGAUAUAAAGUAUACGCAUCGAACGGUUGCCAGAUAAAUUCGCCCAUGGACGCGGAGAUCGCGGAUCUGAUCGAACAAAAUCUGGAGCCUUGGUCGAACGCUUGGGACGCAAUGGAUGAAAGUAAACACCUAGCGUUGGAUUACUACAAGGAUACGGCGAAAAUGUACUGUGACUCUGUCACUCGGUUCAUUAAUUCCAUAAAACUGUCAUCGGGCCCUCCAAGACCCUUCGUCUAUACACCAUUACACGGCGUUGGACAUUCCCUAAUGUCCCGGCUAUGUGAGCAGCUGGGGAUGAAGGAUUUAAUAACCGUCGUCGCCGAACAGCAAGAACCGGACCCUGACUUUCCAACCGUCGCCUUCCCAAACCCAGAAGAAAGCGGCGCCUUAGAUCUCGCCAUGAAAACCGCUGAUGCUGUGGGUCACGAUCUGAUCAUCGCCAAUGAUCCGGAUGCGGAUAGACUCUCUGUGGCGGAGAAAGUAAACGGCAACUGGAUAAAAUUCACCGGCGACCAACUCGGCAUCCUCCUCGCCUCCUAUAUGCUGGACACUAUACACUCACAAACAGCCAAUAAACCCCCACAUGCGCAAAAGAAGAUAGCAAUGCUCACCACCGCCGUAUCAACAAGCAUGCUCUCCAAAAUCGCCCGCGCCGAAUCCAUCCACGCUCAAGAAACACUCACUGGCUUCAAAUGGCUUGGCAACGUCGCCAGACGUCUCGAAUCUCGCAUACCCAGCGGUGAGGACGACCAGAACAAGAACAGCAGUGACGGUUACACCGUCCCCUUCGGCUUUGAAGAGGCCCUUGGCUACAUGUUCCCCGCCAUCAGCUAUGACAAAGAUGGCCUAACGGCCGCCAUGGUCUUCGUCGCCGCAGCCGAGCCGCACUGGCGUGUCAACGAGGGGCUGACACCGUACGAAAAGCUGAAGCAGCUGUACGGGCGGUACGGGUAUUUUGAGAAUUUGAACACGUAUUUCGUGUCGCCGGAUGUGGCGGUUACGCGGAAGUUGUUUGAGGGCGUUCGUGAGAAGGUUGCGG
rnacentral:sRNA from 2 species